AGUGAACGCUGGCGGUAGGCCUAACACAUGCAAGUCGAACGGCAGCACAGUAAGAGCUUGCUCUUACGGGUGUCGAGUGGCGGACGGGUGAGGAAUACAUCGGAAUCUACCUUUUCGUGGGGGAUAACGUAGGGAAACUUACGCUAAUACCGCAUACGACCUACGGGUGAAAGCAGGGGAUCUUCGGACCUUGCGCGAUUGAAUGAGCCGAUGUCGGAUUAGCUAGUUGGCGGGGUAAAGGCCCACCAAGGCGACGAUCCGUAGCUGGUCUGAGAGGAUGAUCAGCCACACUGGAACUGAGACACGGUCCAGACUCCUACGGGAGGCAGCAGUGGGGAAUAUUGGACAAUGGGCGCAAGCCUGAUCCAGCCAUACCGCGUGGGUGAAGAAGGCCUUCGGGUUGUAAAGCCCUUUUGUUGGGAAAGAAAAGCAGCAGGUUAAUACCCCGCUGUUCUGACGGUACCCAAAGAAUAAGCACCGGCUAACUUCGUG
rnacentral:rRNA from 1 species